CACCCGCCAGCCUGUGGUUGCCGUCGGCCGCCGCGCUGCCCGCCGGCCGCUGCCGGCAUUGUUAGCGGGGCCCGGUGCGGGCAGGGCCCCGCCGCUCGGGCCGGGGCUCCCCGCGCCCCACGCGGCUCGGAGGGGCCCCGUGGGCCGCGUCCCCUGCCUGCCGCGCGGCAGCUCCUGCUGCAGCGUCGAAGCGCUGGGGCACAUGGGUCACCCCAAGCCCCCCAGCCCUUGCCAUCUACCCGUCCAAAGCCUUGGAAAACGCGUGUGGGGGGUGAUGUUACCAGCCGGAGAGUGCACUCGAGGCCCUCGACGCCCCUCGCCACCGGCAGCACACGCGAUUGCGGCUGCAGGCAGGGACGGCCGGGCACGAGCAACAGCCUUGGCACGAAAGAGCCUGAUGCGUCGCUGAGCUGGAAACCAGCAGGGUCUGAGCAUGCAGAGCUGGCAUGGGCCUGGUCCCUUUGUCCUGUCCCAAUCCAAAUGGAUGGAGGGGCUUUUAAAGUUGGGCCCUCUUGCGGCUCUGUGGUGUUUGGGUGUCCGCCCGGGAGGACAUGCUCGUUUCAGUCCCUGUAGCAGUGCAGCGCUAGCCCCACGGCCGUUCUCUGCCAUUUGGCCGAGGUGGGGCUGCGCACCCCCUUCCCAGCCCGGGGGGGCUGCUGGCCUGCCUGGUGGCCAUGGGGGAGCUGCGCCCUGAAUGCUUGGUGCAGUCCCUGGGCAUGUGGCAGCCCUCCGCCUCCUGUGGCUGAAAGAGCUGGGCAGGCCAGCUUUGUGCGGGUAACUUGAUGCUGAUGACAGUUGGCAGCUGCAGUUCCCCCAGCCGACUGAGGCAAAUAAAAGCAUUAGGGCUCGUCCCCGAGGAGAGCGACAGGUGUUUGCUCCCGCUUCUUUGUUUCCUUUCUUUUAUUCGCCUUGCUAAUGCAUGUCAUAUUUUUACUGCCCAAGGAAACGGGAGACGCAUCCCCCGCUUGAAUCGACAUCACUGGUGUGGAGCUCCAUGCUUGCUGCCUUGUACGUGUACAGCAUGGACCCCCUCCCGCGAUGGCAUACCCUUGUUCAUUUUGCCAUCAAAACCCCAGCAGACUUGGCAGCUGGGGCACAGAAGAACAGUUCAUGCCAGCCACAACGCUAAUGAGCAGCGUUCAAAAGGGUCUUAUGUCCAUUCACAGAAGAGCCCCAAGACUGGCCGCCUGUGAAGGCUCGGGUUCCCCUUUGACUGAGAGGAUGGGCCCUGCUUUCUGCCAUUUCAAAGGAGCAUGCAGAAUGUCUUCCUGCUGUUUUCUGUGCCGACUUUGACCACAGCCAUGGAGUCGUGAUGGAAGGGACCUUCAGAGGGUUGAAGUGAAGGUGCUGUGCCACCAAAAUCAGUAGAAAAUGAUUGCUGUUCGCAUGAUUAUGGCUGUGUCAACAGAGCAUUGUAGCCAGCUCAUGUGAUUAAAAACAAAUCAUAUAAAUAAAAUAGCUCAGGAGAGAGCAACAGAAUCACAGGAAGUUAGGAACACGCAGGCUUAUAUUUGUGCUGCACAGGAUAACUUAAAAGAGGAAAAAAUGAUAGUUUAUAUGAUACAAAAUUAUUUUUUUCUAGGGAAAUAAAAAUGCUUUGUUCUAUUUUGGGGGUUUAUUUGUUGGUUUUUUUUUAAGCUCUGGAGGAAGGGCAGUGCUGUCCUCUGCAGCAUGCCUUGUUUUAUGGAGGAUGUUAGGAAUGGGUUCAUUUACUUGAUGAAUUCAGGACCCAGUUUAAUUGGACUCUGAAAUGGCUAGUUUGGGGGGAAGCCAUUUUACUGGCUUCUGGGGAUUACUUGAUGUUCUCUAAACUCCAGUAAAAAUUUCUUAGACAGCCAAGGCUUCUGUGUCCUUACAAUUAAUAGACAAAGCAAAUGUCAAGUUUGCACACAUGCAGAAACAGGGACUUGUGAACAAAGUGGUAGGACUAGCUCCACUAGCAUGUUGCUGUGUCAAAUAAAAAUCCCAAUGAUAUACAGCCUAAAACUGUAAUUAGAGGGCAGCUCUGAAAAUGAACAUACAAACUGAAAAUGCAGGCAGCUUUGGUACACUGUCUGAGUUGCUCUUCUUGAUUUCCUUCCCUCCCACCCCUUUCAGAGGUGUGGUAUGUGGUCUGCCAGGGCUGCAAGAGAGCAGGGGUGGCUUGUCCCCAGAGCUGCUGAUCUGUCUGUAUCUCAGCAAGCCCAUUUGACAACUGUACCGUCUAAACUGUCUAUGGAUAAAAGUAGGGGAAUGAAAGG